ensembl:lncRNA
GAGACCGAACCCCCAUUUCUUACUCAAAUGGUCGGUGCCAUAUUGUUUCUCACGGCAGCAGCCCGAAAGACGUUAGGUAGCUUACUCAUUCAGUCAGCCGGAGUCCGCUACACCACACAAGAUGGAGAACAACAUUUAAAAAAUAUGAACCGCCCGUAUGUCAGCGGGGCAGAAAAAAGGAAGGAGGAAAAUAGCGUCAUGACGUGUUCUGUAGUUUUGUUCCCGGAGGAGGAUGACUGUGUGUGGCAAUAGUUCCACACCUGUGGCUCAAAGGGGGAGUUUGCUACUGGUGACCACACAGCAUCACCAGCCGGAAGUCCUUCAGCCACGACAAGUUUGCCAGAACUUGUUUACCACCUAAAGAUACCUGGGAGGCUGUCCUUUAUGAGCUCAUCAAGCAUGCAGACACGUGAGAGACCGGACGUGUAUAUCGCCAGAGAAGCGAAAAUCGUUCCAGCGUGGGCCCCUCCCACCCCAAGGACGCAAAUCUACACCACAACACCCUGUGGAUUGCAGCCCUGGAACAAGCACAGUACUCCAAGGCACCAGGGAGGUACUCCACGCCGCCAUGAAGAGGAGCACUACAUAGAUCAUUUGGAGAAGAUCAAGUGGCUGACUGAAGAGAAGGUCGAGCUGAGGGCACAGCUGGCUCUACAAUCAGGAAGAAUCCUUCCAACCGGGAUGCCACUGACGAGGCUGUUCAGAACCAGGUCCCCAGGUACCAGAAAGGGGCAGUUGACCGUGCAGGUGGGAGAAGACGUCACGGCUGUACCAGGGACCUGCCAUGAAUAUGAAUGACAUCUCCAGCACAACCAAUAUUGCUGCUAAUCUAUGUUGUGGAAAUUCUGAAACCUGAUGCAUUCUUAAUGAUUAAAGGACUGAGUCCCCUUGUUUAGAUAAAUAGAUGAGUGUGGGAGAGGGGAUCUGGUAUAUGUCUUAGGGGGCAUUCUUGAUUGGUCACAGUAGAGUAUAGGGUUAAUCAUCUACCUAUUUGUAGGUUGUCCAGAUGAAGUCCCCCUCAAGGG